ACUAAGUUUCAACAACGGAUCUCUUGGCUCUCGCAUCGAUGAAGAACGCAUCGAAAUGCGAUAAGUAAUGUGAAUUGCAGAAUUCAGUGAAUCAUCGAAUCUUUGAACGCACCUUGCGCUCCUUGGUAUUCCUUGGAGCAUGCCUGUUUGAGUAUCAUGAAAU
rnacentral:rRNA from 2 species